rnacentral:rRNA from 1 species
CCUACGGGAGGCAGCAGUGGGGAAUAUUGCACAAUGGGGGAAACCCUGAUGCAGCGACGCCGCGUGAGUGAAGAAGUAUUUCGGUAUGUAAAGCUCUAUCAGCAGGGAAGAAGAAAGACGGUACCUGACUAAGAAGCCCCGGCUAACUACGUGCCAGCAGCCGCGGUAAUACGUAGGGGGCAAGCGUUAUCCGGAUUUACUGGGUGUAACGGGAGCGUAGACGGCUGUGCAAGUCUGAAGUGAAAGCCCAGGGCUCAACCCUGGGACUGCUUUGGAAACUGCGGAGCUAGAGUGCUGGAGAGGUAAGUGGAAUUCCUAGUGUAGCGGUGAAAUGCGUAGAUAUUAGGAGGAACACCAGUGGCGAAGGCGGCUUACUGGACAGUAACUGACGUUGAGGCUCGAAAGCGUGGGGAGCAAACAGGAUUAGAUACCCUAGUAGUC